CUUGACGGUACCUAACCAGAAAGCCACGGCUAACUACGUGCCAGCAGCCGCGGUAAUACGUAGGUGGCAAGCGUUGUCCGGAAUUAUUGGGCGUAAAGGGCUCGCAGGCGGUUUCUUAAGUCUGAUGUGAAAGCCCCCGGCUCAACCGGGGAGGGUCAUUGGAAACUGGGAAACUUGAGUGCAGAAUAGGAGAGUGGAAUUCCACGUGUAGCGGUGAAAUGCGUAGAGAUGUGGAGGAACACCAGUGGCGAAGGCGACUCUCUGGUCUGUAACUGACGCUGAGGAGCGAAAGCGUGGGGAGCGAACAGGAUUAGAUACCCUGGUAGUCC
rnacentral:rRNA from 1 species